ACUCAUCAAUUCCAGCUUCUGAAAAUGGGGUUCCCUGCUCAGCUCUUGGGCCUCCUCAUGCUCUGGGUCCCAGGAUCCAAUGGGGAUAUUGUGCUGACCCAGACUCCACUCUCCCUGUCUGUCAUCCCUGGAGACCCGGCCUCCAUCUCCUGCAGAUCCAGUCAGAGCCUCCUAGAUAGUGAUGGAGACACUUACUUGAAUUGGUAUCUGCAGAAACCAGGCCAGUCGCCACAGCUUCUGAUCUAUGGAGCUUCCAACUGGGCCUCUGGGGUCCCAGACAGGUUCACUGGCAGUGGGUCAGGGACAGAUUUCACCCUUAAAAUCAGCAGGGUGGAGGCUGAGGACGCUGGAGUUUAUUACUGCCAGCAUGGCAUGGAAAAUCCUCAUACGUUCGGCCAGGGGACCAAGGUGGAAAUCAAACGGUCUGAUGCUCAGCCAUCUGUCUUCCUCUUGCACCCAUCUGAACAGCAGUUAGAGACCAGAACUGCCUCUGUCGUGUGCUUUGUGAAUGGCUUUUACCCCAAAACUAUCAAAGUCAGUUGGAAAGUGGAUGGAGUUGUCCAAGACAGCAACAUCCAGGAGAGUUUCACUGAGCAGGACAGCAAGGAUAGCACAUACAGCCUCAGCAGCACCCUGACGCUGUCCAGGUCUGAGUACCAAAGCCAUAGUCUCUAUACCUGCGAGGUCAGUCACCAGUCCCUGGCCUCCGCCCUGGUCAAGAGCUUCAAUAAGAACGACUGUUAG